AGACAUACUAAAGAAAAAGUUCUAAGGCGCGCCAAGAGAAGAUGGGCUCCAAUUCCUUGUUCGAUGCUAGAAAACUCCUUGGGUCCUUUUCCACUUUUCCUUCAACAGGUUCAAUCUGACACGGCCCAAAACUAUACCAUAUACUAUUCCAUAAGAGGUCCUGGAGUUGACCAAGAACCUCGGAAUUUAUUUUAUGUGGAGAGAGACACUGGAAACUUGUAUUGUACUCGUCCUGUAGAUCGUGAGCAGUAUGAAUCUUUUGAGGUAAAGUCUAAAAUGUGUGUACUGUAUUAGCAAUGAUGAUGCUUGGCCAUUUUGUCUCUCAUUUGCAAUUCACGUAACCUUUUCUGCUUUCUGAGUUUGUCACCAAUGCUCUGGCUACUCCCUAAUAGCACAUAAUUGACUUGAAACAAAAAAUAUUUUCAUAGAAUAAAUAAUAUUGGAUUCCAUUAGAUUGUUCCUGGUAUUAUGGUUUUACUAUUUUUUUUUCCCCCACAACAGUACCACUUUGAAGAACAGUUUUUUUUUUUUUUUUUUUGAGACAGCAUCUCACUUUGCCACCCAGGCUGAAGUGCAGUGGCGUAAUCUCGGCUCACUGCAAUCUCUGGCUCCGGGGUUCAAGUGAUCCUCCCACCUUAGCCUCCUGAGUAGCUGGGAUCACAGGCACGCACCAUGAUACCCAGCUAAUUUUUUGUAUUUUUAGUAGAGAUGGGGUUUCACCAUGUUGGCCAGGCUGGUCUCAAGCUCUUGACCUCAGGUGAUCUGCCCAUGUCGGCCUCCCAAAGUGCUGGGAUUACAGGACUGAGCCACCGUGCCCGGCCAAGAACAGUUACUUAGUUGGCACAAAAAGAUCUGUGAACCUCUUUAUAGUAUGGAGAUAUCAUAGGAGGUAAAUGAAGUUCAGUCAUUAAGUAAACCUCAGUACCCUGGCAAUGGGAGAGCAUUAGUUUAUGGGGAGCAGGUAGGGGGUGUGACAGUGCUUACCUAAGCUUACUCAGUCCUUUAAUCAUCUGGUUAAUUUCCUAUGCUGGAAAGUGAGUUAAUAUGAAAGAAUUUAACCUAAUGCUGGUUUGAUUUCCCAACAGGACUUGGUCAUUUUGCUUAAGUCAGUUUUAAUUAUUUUAUGUCUAUUUUGGAUGAAUUAAUUAUUCAUUAGAAGACCAAAUUAAUCAAAUAAGACAGGCAAGCUUUGAAUAAAGUAUUUAGGUUUAGAAUUGCCAUGGCCUGGCCUUCUGAGUACCUAGGAUGUUCUGGCCUUUCUAUGAUAGCUGUUAUGAGAAAAUUGGUAUUGAAAUUCAUAUUAU
rnacentral:lncRNA from 10 species